UACAGAGGUCUCAAGCGUUGUUCGGAUUCAUUGGGCGUAAAGGGUGCGUAGGCGGCGCGGUAAGUCGGGUGUGAAAUCUCGGAGCUUAACUCCGAAACUGCAUUCGAUACUGCCGUGCUUGAGGACUGGAGGGGAGACUGGAAUUUACGGUGUAGCGGUGAAAUGCGUAGAUAUCGGGAGGAACACCUGUGGCGAAGGCGGCCCCCUGGUUGGAUACGUGACGCUGAUACGCGAAAGCGUGGGGAGCAACAGG
rnacentral:rRNA from 1 species